rnacentral:rRNA from 1 species
ACGGAGGAUCCGGGCGUUAUCCGGAAUUACUGGGUUUAAAGGGUGCGUAGGCGGGGCUUUAAGCCGGCGGUGAAAUGCCCUGGCCCAACCGCUGGAAUCCCGUUGGGACUGGGGCUCUUGGAUACGGUCGGGGAGGGUGGAAAUCGUGGAGUAGCGGUGAAAGCCAUAGAUAUCACGAGGAGCGCCGGUAGCGAAGGCAGCUCGCCGGGCCGGUAUUGACGCUGAGGCACGAAAGCGUGGUGAUCGAACAG